UACGGAGGGUGCAAGCGUUAAUCGGAAUGACUGGGCGUAAAGGGUGCGUAGGCGGUUUAGUAAGUUGAGUGUGAAAUCCCCGGGCUUAACCUGGGUAGGUCAUUCAAUACUGCUAGACUGGAGUACAAGAGAGGGUAGUGGAAUUUCCGGUGUAGCGGUGAAAUGCGUAGAGAUCGGAAGGAACACCAGUGGCGAAGGCGGCUACCUGGCUUGAUACUGACGCUGAGGCACGAAAGCAUGGGGAGCAAACAGG
rnacentral:rRNA from 1 species